GGGCGUGUGGCUCAGUUGGUAGAGCAUUCGCUUAGCAUACUCCUCUCCGGUAUGCGAAAGGUCCUGGGUUCGAUUCCCAGCUCGUCCA